GGAUGCGAUCAUACCAGCACUAAAGCAUCGGAUCCCAUCAGAAUUCCGAAGUUAAGCGUGCUUGGGCGAGAGUAGUACUAGGAUGGGUGACCUCCUGGGAAGUCCUCGUGUUGCGUUCC
rnacentral:rRNA from 1 species